CUGGCGGCCGCGCGCCCGCCUACCUUGUUCCUUCAGGCUGGUGAUGAGCUGCAGCUGCUUCUCCUCGUCCGAGCUGUUCAUUUUGGCAGAAUGCUGUUCUUAGCAGCAUUAUGCACAAUAACUAAAAGGCAGAAGCAAACCAAGUAUCCACCAACCGAUGCAUGGGUUAACUAAAUGUGGUGUACAUAUACAAUGGAAUUCUUCAACCUGAAAAAGGAAGAAAAUCCUGACCAAGCUACAAUAUGGAUGAACCUUGGGUACAUGAUGCUAAUUGAAAGAAGCCAGUCACAAAAAGACGAGAAGCUGAGCAGCUAGAUUAACUUGCCCUGAGCCUUUCAGCUACCACAUUCAAGUGUAUUUCUGCGAUGCCACGUGGAUUAGAGGGGAGGAGAGAAUUGGCCAUGCAGACUAGAGGGGAGGAGAGAAAUGGCAGGUGAACACCGGGAGAUCCACUCUGCCCCUGCCAGUGUAACGUGUGGCUUCUGUACCGAGUCAUGGCCCCUGGGGCAGUCAUCGGCACUGGUAGCCCAUAGGCCCUGUCCCUCUCCUGAGCUUCCUACAGAUAGAACUCCAGCUGCCCACAGCCCAAGAUCGCUCCAGUCACAGCAGAUGCUAUCAGAAUUCAGGGGCUGGGGGGAAGGGAGAAGGCUGCACACAAAAUUUGGGGAGUGGGGGGGGGUGCAGUGCUAUAUUUCAAAAAGAUGGUCAUGGCACUUUGGAAGUAUCGGUUUAAAGUCCAUGGUGUGCCCCCUUUUAGCUAACUUCAGCUACUUCUCAUUUUUCUAACUGUACAUCCACAGAUUUUCAUUAGAAAGCUAAUGACCUCAAAGCACUCUCAGCAAAUACUGAAUGAUCCUAUCUUGCAAUCUCUAAUAGCCUGUGUGCUGACUUAGUGUCAUAAAUUAAUAAAGUACAUGUCAAAGCAUAUAAUCAAACUCUGUGAUGGGGUGCACGUUCUGGAAACUGGUUCAUUUUUAAUAACAAAUUCAGAGGUGGGAGCAUCUCUAAUACUUCUCAUUCCCCAGUACCCAAAUCUUGGUAGAGUUCCUCAGUAAACAUUCCAGGAGAGAUCCUUAACGUGUUCCUGAAUGCUCUGAAAUUGUAUGCAAGAUUGUGAGGGCGUAUGUACAUCUCUCUGGGGAAAGGAUCCUUAACUUUCAUCAGAUUCUCAAAGGACCUGUAACUCCCCAAAGGUUGAGAAUUACUGCAUUUCAGUGAUACCACCACACAUCAUAGUUCCCCCCUUGCACAGUUUUGGUAUGUGUAAAUGUUUUUCUGUAGUGUUCUGGGGAACUAGAAGGAUUUCAAUUUCGUUUCCGUAACAUAUCCCAUUUCUACUGGGGAUACUUACAAGAAUAGGGAACUGACACUAGGAACAGGAAAUGCUACAGCUGGCGAGGCGGGAGUGGGAGGUUUUGUGACACCUUGGGAGAGAUGAAGGAGUCUGGGGAAAAGAAACCGCUUUUGCACUGCCCUCCCGUGUCUGCAGGGAGGAUGGGCAGACGACACUACCGGAGCCCGGAGCCAUCCUGGCCAAAGCUAAAGCUCUCAACCCGAGGAAAUAAGAGAUACAGAAGCACCCCCCCCGGGGUUCAGUUCCACAACACCUCCGGGGAGUUGGGGGUUGAAAAAAUUAAGGUCUCAUGGAAAGAAAAGACCCAUUUGUAGUUUCUAAAAUAAAACAAUAUAAGACAUGA